UUAAGCGACUAAGCGUACACGGUGGAUGCCCUGGCAGUCAGAGGCGAUGAAGGACGUGCUAAUCUGCGAAAAGCGUCGGUAAGGUGAUAUGAACCGUUAUAACCGGCGAUGUCCGAAUGGGGAAACCCAGUGCAAUUCGUUGCACUAUCGUUAACUGAAUACAUAGGUUAACGAGGCGAACCGGGGGAACUGAAACAUCUAAGUACCCCGAGGAAAAGAAAUCAACCGAGAUUCCCCCAGUAGCGGCGAGCGAACGGGGAGCAGCCCAGAGUCUGAAUCAGCUUGUGUGUUAGUGGAACGGUCUGGAAAGUCCGACGGUACAGGGUGAUAGUCCCGUACACCAAAAUGCACAGGCUGUGAACUCGAAGAGUAGGGCGGGACACGUGGUAUCCUGUCUGAAUAUGGGGGGACCAUCCUCCAAGGCUAAAUACUCCUGACUGACCGAUAGUGAACCAGUACCGUGAGGGAAAGGCGAAAAGAACCCCGGCGAGGGGAGUGAAAAAGAACCUGAAACCGUGUACGUACAAGCAGUGGGAGCACCUUCGGGUGUGACUGCGUACCUUUUGUAUAAUGGGUCAGCGACUUAUAUUCUGUAGCAAGGUUAACCGUAUAGGGGAGCCGCAGGGAAACCGAGUCUUAACUGGGCGUUAAGUUGCAGGGUAUAGACCCGAAACCCGGUGAUCUAGCCAUGGGCAGGUUGAAGGUUGGGUAACACUAACUGGAGGACCGAACCGACUAAUGUUGAAAAAUUAGCGGAUGACUUGUGGCUGGGGGUGAAAGGCCAAUCAAACCGGGAGAUAGCUGGUUCUCCCCGAAAGCUAUUUAGGUAGCGCCUCGUGAAUUCAUCUUCGGGGGUAGAGCACUGUUUCGGCUAGGGGGUCAUCCCGACUUACCAACCCGAUGCAAACUACGAAUACCGAAGAAUGUUAUCACGGGAGACACACGGCGGGUGCUAACGUCCGUCGUGAAGAGGGAAACAACCCAGACCGCCAGCUAAGGUCCCAAAGUCAUGGUUAAGUGGGAAACGAUGUGGGAAGGCACAGACAGCCAGGAUGUUGGCUUAGAAGCAGCCAUCAUUUAAAGAAAGCGUAAUAGCUCACUGGUCGAGUCGGCCUGCGCGGAAGAUGUAACGGGGCUAAACCAUGCACCGAAGCUGCGGCAGCGACACUAUGUGUUGUUGGGUAGGGGAGCGUUCUGUAAGCCUGCGAAGGUGACCUGUGAGGGUUGCUGGAGGUAUCAGAAGUGCGAAUGCUGACAUAAGUAACGAUAAAGCGGGUGAAAAGCCCGCUCGCCGGAAGACCAAGGGUUCCUGUCCAACGUUAAUCGGGGCAGGGUGAGUCGACCCCUAAGGCGAGGCCGAAAGGCGUAGUCGAUGGGAAACAGGUUAAUAUUCCUGUACUUGGUGUUACUGCGAAGGGGGGACGGAGAAGGCUAUGUUAGCCGGGCGACGGUUGUCCCGGUUUAAGCAUGUAGGCUGGUUAUCCAGGCAAAUCCGGAUAAUCAAGGCUGAGGUGUGAUGACGAGGCACUACGGUGCUGAAGUAACAAAUGCCCUGCUUCCAGGAAAAGCCUCUAAGCAUCAGGUAACAUCAAAUCGUACCCCAAACCGACACAGGUGGUCAGGUAGAGAAUACCAAGGCGCUUGAGAGAACUCGGGUGAAGGAACUAGGCAAAAUGGUGCCGUAACUUCGGGAGAAGGCACGCUGGUGUGUAGGUGAAGCCCCUGCGGGUGGAGCUGAGACCAGUCGAAGAUACCAGCUGGCUGCAACUGUUUAUUAAAAACACAGCACUGUGCAAACACGAAAGUGGACGUAUACGGUGUGACGCCUGCCCGGUGCCGGAAGGUUAAUUGAUGGGGUUAUCCGUAAGGAGAAGCUCUUGAUCGAAGCCCCGGUAAACGGCGGCCGUAACUAUAACGGUCCUAAGGUAGCGAAAUUCCUUGUCGGGUAAGUUCCGACCUGCACGAAUGGCGUAAUGAUGGUCAGGCUGUCUCCACCCGAGACUCAGUGAAAUUGAACUCGCUGUGAAGAUGCAGUGUACCCGCGGCAAGACGGAAAGACCCCGUGAACCUUUACUAUAGCUUGACACUGAACAUUGAGCCUUGAUGUGUAGGAUAGGUGGGAGGCUUUGAAGCGUGGACGCCAGUCUGCGUGGAGCCAACCUUGAAAUACCACCCUUUAAUGUUUGAUGUUCUAACGUUGGCCCCUUAUCGGGGUUGCGGACAGUGUCUGGUGGGUAGUUUGACUGGGGCGGUCUCCUCCCAAAGCGUAACGGAGGAGCACGAAGGUUAGCUAAUCCUGGUCGGACAUCAGGAGGUUAGUGCAAUGGCAUAAGCUAGCUUGACUGCGAGCGUGACGGCGCGAGCAGGUGCGAAAGCAGGUCAUAGUGAUCCGGUGGUUCUGAAUGGAAGGGCCAUCGCUCAACGGAUAAAAGGUACUCCGGGGAUAACAGGCUGAUACCGCCCAAGAGUUCAUAUCGACGGCGGUGUUUGGCACCUCGAUGUCGGCUCAUCACAUCCUGGGGCUGAAGUAGGUCCCAAGGGUAUGGCUGUUCGCCAUUUAAAGUGGUACGCGAGCUGGGUUUAGAACGUCGUGAGACAGUUCGGUCCCUAUCUGCCGUGGGCGCUGGAGAAUUGAGGGGGGCUGCUCCUAGUACGAGAGGACCGGAGUGGACGCAUCACUGGUGUUCGGGUUGUCAUGCCAAUGGCACUGCCCGGUAGCUAAAUGCGGAAGAGAUAAGUGCUGAAAGCAUCUAAGCACGAAACUUGCCCCGAGAUGAGUUCUCCCUGAGACUUUAAGUCUCCUGAAGGAACGUUGAAGACGAUGACGUUGAUAGGCCGGGUGUGUAAGCGCAGCGAUGCGUUGAGCUAACCGGUACUAAUGAACCGUGAGGCUUAACCUU
rnacentral:rRNA from 1 species